rnacentral:rRNA from 1 species
AGCCUGUAGAUUUUAAUUUUAGGUUAUACCUGCCCAGUGUAUUAAUAUAAAUGGCCGCGGUACUUUGACCGUGCUAAGGUAGCGCAAUUAAUUGGCUUUUAAUUGUAGUCAUGUAUGAAUGGGGUUACAGGGCUUUACUGUCUCUAAGUCACUUUAUCAAAAUUACUAUUUAAGUGAAAAAGCUUAAAUGAUUAAAAAAGACGAGAAGACCCUUAGAGUUUAUCUAAAUUAAGGCAUCUGUCUUAUUGGUUUAGUUGGGGCAACGGAGGAAUAAUAAAACAUCCUUAAUAAACAAGUCGGAUAUUUCAGCUUUGAUAAAACUACCUUAGGGAUAACAGCAUAAUUUAAUAAAUAAGUUUGUGACCUCGAUGUUGGACUAGGAAAUUUAAUGGUUAGCUGCCUUUAAAUUAGGUUCUGUUCGAACUUUAUUUCCU